UUCUGGCCAAUUGACUAUGAUCACAACUCUAUUUCUGAAGUACAAUAAUGAAAGAUUUAUACAAUGGAUGAGCCUAAGUCUAUUAGUAUAUAGCAUAAAUCAAAAGCAGUAAGGUAUAGUGAGCUCAUUUGAGUAUGAAUUUUUAAUACAAAUGGAUUAUUGGAAUUAUUGCUUUCCAAGUAGGGAUAUAUCCGCUAACAUCAUUCAGAAGAUGUGGAGACUUGAUCAAAAUAUUUUAUGAUUGAAAACUAAAAAUCAAAAUAACUUUUUGAUUUUAAAAAUUAAGUUCAAAGUGAUUCAAAAUUGAGUGAAAAAAUAAUUGAGCUCCUCUCUAACUAAACACGGAUUGUUUUAGUAGUUGUAUUUGAAAACCAAUGUUUAAAACCAUGCAACAACCUCAAACUGGUCUAUUCCUAAAGUGUUUGUCAACCAAUUAUGUUUUCCUUGGUUAUCAAACUCAAGUUUUAACUCCCAAAAAUGUACAAACUCAUGCCUGUGCGUCUUGUACGAGUUGACUUGUAGAAUUGAAUUUGAGGGUUUGAGUGGGCUCGAUGUAAACACCGGUGAACUUGUCAGGAAGUCACAUUCUAAUUGGCGAGUUCAGCUUCUUUUUUUAUUAUUUGUUUGAUUGAAAACGAGGAAGCAUUAUGUCAUUUAGAUUGCAAAGAUAAGAGAAAGGAGAAGAAUAGGGUUCUUGGCUAUCCCAUUUCUUUGUUAUUUCUCUUUGUUGUUGCUAGUGGAAAUUGGGGACAGCUGCUGCUCUCAUCAUUAUGCCAUUCUCUGUAUUGAGGCUGAAGCAAGCGGCAACAACAUCUUCUCCCUGCAAUGUUGUGGAUUAUGAAUGUGUUGAAGUUGCACAAUCAUUCUUAUUCUCUCUGCUGUGCACAAUUUGAAACUCAAUCUUAUUUGAAGAUAUCUCUCUUUUCUUAGUUGUUUUAAUUUUAUCGUAUUAAGAACUUACGCCUUGUAUGAGCUUAUGUUUUACUUGGUGUUGCUUUAUUAUUAAGGUUUAAUAUUUUGCAUUAUUAUAUAAUUAAAAUGAUCAAUCGUCAUGUUAUUUAUAGGUAUUUUAAUAGUAUCCUAUAUGAAGUAAACCCUUAUUUACAAUUCGAGUUUACAAGUUUACAAACAUUAAUGAGCUUAUUUAAGCUCUGGUUUUCAGCUACGUUUUUUGUUUAACCUUUUAAGAGACAAUUUUGAACAAUUACUAGACUAUUUUUUUAAGAAGCUUAUGGUACACUAAGCUCUUCAUGAACAUGCAUAAUUGAAUGAGUACUGUCAAGGAUCAUGUGCCAUUGUUAUCUAAAGAGACAGGUGACUAGUUCAGGCAUAUAUUUUUUGACACUGAAGGAGUUUGAUCUUAAUGAUGCGGGGUUGAUG